UAACAAGUUCAUUUUUGAUCAAAUUUCGACUGGUUCGUUCUCCGAUCCGGCUGUUCCAUUGAAGCAGGCAUGCCAGAGCUAGAGGAAUUCAAAAUAAACUUUCUGCUAAAGCAUAUAGACACAUGAAUAAACCAAAAUUUAACUGGCUUCUCUUGUAUGUAAUAAGUGUCUACCUCAUUGCUGCAGAAGAUGAUGUUAUUUUAGUUUUUCUAUUUUUAAAACACAAAAUAAAUAUAUAAUAUUUCUUUGUUUUUGUUUUUCUAUUCGUUUGUUUAUUUCCAAUUUCUUGCCUUUUUAACUUUAUAAUCAAGGUUUUGAUGUUUAUCAAUUUUGGCCUAUUGGAACAUAAAAUUAGGAACCAAAAGGCAUUGAGAAUAGAUGUGAUCAUGGGCCGAGCCGGGUCAAGACAAAAUUUUAAGCCCGUUUUCUAGGCCCUAGCCUGGCCCGACCCGAAAGAAAAUUGAUAAGCCCAAGCCCGGCCCUACCCGGCCCAUAUUUGAUUAAAAAAAUAUAUAUCUAGUAUAUAAUUCGGGUCAGGUCGGGCUCGACCCGAAAAAGUCUUACCCGAGGCUCAGCCUGUAAUAGCCCGAUUUUCAGAAAUGUCAAAAACAGUGGUACAAGAUCACCAAAUUCAGAAAAUAAGCUCGUAAAUUUCAUUAUUAAUAACUACGAGCCAAAUAUGAUUUUUAAGAGAUUUUUGAAUUAGUAAUUUGUGUUUUAUAAAAAUUUAUUAAGUCAAGAAAUUGAGGAAAAGAGGUAUCGAGACCUCGAUGUUAUAAACCGAGCCGUAAAUAUUUUUAUAAAUAUUUACGGAGUGUCAAUAUGGUAGUGUUAAAGUUUCGUUAAGAAAUUUUAAAGUUCCGAUAAUUAAUUGAAUAAAAAGAACUAAAUUGUAACAAAUGCAAAAUUAUGAAAAAUGAUUAAAUAGCUUAAAAGAUAAAAGGAAGAGGGCUUAAAAGGCAAAUAGACACAAAGUCCAUUUGGGCUGGACGACAAAGGCAUGAAAUCAACAACAAAGUAAGGAGAAUUAAGGGCAAAAUUGGAAUAUUACAAAAUUUACUUAAUAAAGUUAGGACCAAAGUGGAAUUAUCAAGAUUUCUCUUUAUUUUUCUGCAUUCUCAUCAGCAAAAACACCAUAGAAGGGUUUCCUUAAGCUGGUUCUACAUAUUUUUACUGCAGGUAAGUUCGACUCUUGAUUAUUUCUUGAAAAUUUUGUGUUUUUGUGACUUUUACAACUAGGCCCAUUUAUGGUAUUCAUUAGUUUUUGAUUCUAUGAAAGAAGUUGAAAGUUGCUAUGAAUACAUGCUGGAAGUAUGAUGAUUUAGCAUGGAAUUAGAGAUUUAAAUUGUUCUUAUGCUGAUUUUAUUGAAAGAAUUGAAUAGAAAGUGAAUGUUUGGGACCUAAUAGUAAAAGAGUUUGAAGUUAGGGUUUUAUGUGGAAAUUAUGAAUUUCAAUAGUUGUGAAAUAAUUUAUAAUGUCUAGGUAAAGUACUAAUGGAGAAAUUUUAGCUUAAUUCAGGGGUUAAUUGAGCAAGGACUGAAUUGUAUGAACUGUGAAAUUUGGGACAAAAUGGAAAUCAACAUUUUACACUAAAACAGUUUUGGACAGCAGCAGUGGUUUAAUUUUGAUAAAUCACCAAAAACUGUGGGAAUUGAAUUAGAGGGUGGAUAAAAUAUGGAUUAAAGCUUAUUGAGUCUAGUUUCUCAUAGAAGAAACGGUGUAAGUAAUAAAAUUGUAAAUUAUGAGUUAUAAUAAAUUUUGUGAGACAAUGUCAGAAUAAUUUCGGGUUCCCCUGUUCUGAUUUUGGAAAAUCAUCAAAAAUUGAAUAAAAAUAAUUAUGAGUUGUAAUUUAUAUUCUUAGAAUCCUUAAUGAGUCUAUUUUCAAAAGAAAUAAAUAGAAACAUUAUCCGAAUUCUGUACAAUUAGAUAAUUCAUUUUUAGUGAAGAGUGGUCGGAACUGCCAGACAGUGAAACAGGGGAAACUUUAAAGAAUAAACUGUACUAUUUGGCUAAACCAAAAAUUCUGAAAAUUUUAUGGUAAGAAUAUAUGUGAGUCUAGUUUCAAGAAAAUUAACGGAUCUUAAUUUGGAUCUCUGUAGCUCCAGAUAAAAAUAAUUUAGUGACUCUGACUCAGAUAAACAGCUUUGAAUAUACAUGUGAAUAAAUAGUGAAAUUAUAGCUAAUGUUGUUUAAGUGUGUUAUACACAUUAAGGAUGUGGAAUGGAGAGGAGGAUGAGGAAAAUUUGGAAACAUAUGAAUGAUUUGUGUAUAAUUGGUCAUAAGCUUGAUUAUAAUUGAUAAACGAUGAAAUAGAAAUGAUGCUUAUAUUUGUGCAUUAUUGGUCAUGGUUUAAGCUCAUGUGUGAAAAUAAAGUUUCAUAGUAUGUGUGUAUGGUAUAUUCGGUAUAUGAUUUGGCAUGAAAUAAUGUCAUGAAUGGUUUAUGAAUUAACAUAUGUUGGUAAGCGUGACACAUGAAUAAAUAUUGUGCUCAUCCAUGCUUAUAAUGCUUACGCUAUAAGUGUAUUUGGCUAACAUAUUUGGUGUACAUGCUUAGGCUUUGGCCAAGUAGUGAUUAGAUUAUGCCAUGUUAAAUUUAUAAGUUAUGCAUUGAAAUAGUAAGUUCAUAUGGCUGAAAUUUAAUGAUUAAAUGUUAAUUUCAUGAAUUAUAUAAUGUAUGAUGAAAUAUAUUUAUUGUUGAAAUAAGAAUAAAAUAAAAAUACGAAAACCGAAUAAAUGAUCAAAUUGAGCAGAACGUCGGAUUUGAGUACUUCUGAUCAGUGAUAAGUGAUAAUUGGUUGCUUUAACUACACUUAUCUGAUCAGUGGCAAGUGACAAGUGAUAAGUGAUAGCUUCAGCUACACUUAUCUGAUCAGUGACAAGUGAUAAGUGAUAGCUUCAGCUACACUUAUCUGAUCAGUGACAAGUGACAAGUGAUAAGAGAUAAGUGGUAGCAUUAACUACACUUAUCUAAUCAGUGAUAAUCGGUAAGUGAUAAGUGGUAGCUUAGCUACACUUAUCUGAUUAGGGAUAAGUGAUAAGUGAUCAUACGUUAGACCAUAGUUAUACUAUGGCAAAGUGGAAGUGAAGUACUCAAUUUUCCGUAACCGUUCCCUAAAUUGAUUAAGGAUGGUAAGUGACAAAUGGGCCUAAAAAAAUUAAAGUAAAUGGAUAAGUGGUAGUGUAUUUAUACCAGGAUGAUGUUGUUAUUUAAGCUAAAGUGAUAUUUUCAUUGAAAAAUUGAGAAUUUCGUAAAUGUGUUAAUGAAUGGUAUAAUCGGUAAACGUUAAGUGAUAAAUACGUAUUAGUGUUAAACUUAAUGAGAUUGAAUUGUAUGUGAAUUAAAUGGAAAUUGCUAGUAAUAUGAUCCAAAUUGUGAGCAUGAGAAAUUGUGAAUUGAGUGAAAUGGAAAUGAAGCAUUGAAUUAUACGAGUAUGUAUCGGGUCUCGUAGGCCCUAUUUAUUAAGAUUAUAAUAUUUUGAGGAUAUAUUGUGAAGAGUUAUAAAAGCAUGUUAAUAAUUUUGAAAGUUUUAAUUUAUAUGAAAUUUUAUAACUCGGUUAAAUACGUUUACAAGUGUAUGCAUUCUGGUAAUGCCUCGUAAUCUAUUCCGGUGUUGGAUACAGGUAAGGGGUGUUACACGGCCCAUUUUCUAAACGGGCCUUUUUUUUGCCCAAACCUUUAUUUCAGGCCUAUAUUUUUACCCGAACCCUCCCAUUUUUUGGGUAGGCCGUCGGGUCGAGCCGGGUAGCCCAACCCAUGAUCACCUCUAAUUGAGAAGUGGUUUCUCAAAACAAAAAAAAAAAACCUCCAAAACAAGUUCCUAAUAUAUUUAAUUUUAAUUUAAUUUGUUGAUGUCAUCUAACUCAAUUCAUACAUAUUAUAUGCAAUUGGAUCAAACAAAGCCUAACGAUUAAAUUUAAAUACAUGAUGUUUGCUAUAAGUAAAUAUGAAUUAAAUUUGGUAAAAUUAUAUUGAAAUAAUUUGAGUUGUUUCGAUAAUGAAUAUGAUGUCAUAUACUUGAAUCUGAUGAUCAGACCGAAUAUGGGGUACCACAUAAAAUACUCACAUAAAACAUUUUUAUCAUUUUGCACACAAUUAUGUUAAAAUAUUAAAGUUUAUAAAAGUAGGUGGUAAUGAGAUGAUAACUGGGACAUAAAAACCAAUUUUUUAAUAUUGAAAAUAAAUUUUGGCCGCACAUUGAAACUAGAUUGACCUUAAAAUACUAAUAAUAUUUUUUGAAGAAAAAAGCCCAAUAUGGGAAAAAGUUAUAUUAACUAUGAAACAUCAUUUAAUAGUAAUUGGUGGAUGAAAUUUGGAUAAUUCAAAUGGAUAUCUAAAACACCAUUCUCAUCCAUUUGCUAAUGUGCCAAACAAUGGGUGACAUGAUUGGCUAAAUUAUGGAGAAAAAAACUUACAACAUCAAACAUCACAACAAGCUAGGGCCUCACUAACAAUACGACCAUACAAAAUAAAUCUAGUACCUGGCUAUUGAACUUAUUAACAACAAACGUACAAUUGGACUUUAGCAGGACUCUUAAAAAACUCUUUGUUAAGGGCUUUCUUAGUGGCACAAAAUAAAGUAAGCGCUUCAGCCGAAGGAGCAUCAAAUGCCUCCACAAUCGAGCAAGUAAAUCCUGCUAUCACUAUUCCCUCAUGGUCAUGAACGAUGGCGCCACAAAAAGCUGAUCUCAUCUUUGCAUUCCAUGCCGCGUCAACAUUAAUUUUCAUUGCAUCUUCACAAGGUGGAGACCAUCGGGCCACAAAUAGACGUUUAAGAACCAACAGUAUAUAUAAGAGAUUUUGCACCAGGAACUCAUGAUGAUAGGACCUAGCUCAUAAUACCACAUCUUGUGCGGAAACGCCUCUCCCUAGUUAACAAUCAUAUUCCUAGCCUCCCGCAACUAAUAUAGAAGCACAAUAAAAAUAGUGAAGGCUUCCUUGUCCAACUGCAUUGUUUUGGGCCAAUCACUUCUUAAUAGUUUUAAAUUGUUUUUAAACCCUCAAAAUUGUUCUAAAUUUGAUUAUAUGAUUUUCUUAAAUAUUAUUUUAAAGACUUACUACUUGAAGAAUUAUAAGUCACAUGUGUGUACAUUUAUGUGAUAGUAUCUUGUAUCUGAACCGGUCUUUGAAACGAGUAAUGGGGUGUUACACCUUUUCUUUUAAAAAUAUUGUGAAACUUAAACUCUUUUCAUUGGAAAAGGCAUUAAUAUCUUUUGUAACUGAAAAAAAAAUUAAUGCCAACUGUGUAGUCAUAUUCUAACAAACUAUAAACUGGAAAAGGCAUUAAUAUCAUUUAUAAUUUGCGGUAUUUUUAAAUUUUCUUAGUUCUAUUUUUUUUAGGGUUCUCUCAGUCUUUUCCUUUGCUCGGCCUUUUUCUCAACCACACAUAAGUUAUUUUUAUAAAAAAAAAAUGAAUUUUUAGAAAUGUAUUGAUUUUAUGGAAAUUUUUGUUUGGAAAAUAUUUUUCUUUGUUUGGAAAAUUUGCUUGGAAUAUUUUUUCGAAAGUUAUUUUUAAUGAAACAAACACAAUAUAAAUUAUAUUUGUUACAAAAUAUUAUAAAAAUAUUUCUUUUUCACAACCAAAAUUUAUUUUAUAAUAGUAUCAACCUAAUUAAAUUUUAAUUUUAAUUUAUAUAUUACAUUCAGGAUAAUAGAUAAUGGCACAUCGAAGUUCGAAGGGAUACAUCUACUUAAGCAGGAUUUAAAUUGUAAUAUAUAUAUAUUCAUAAAUUAGUUUUUUUACUCGUGUGAUGCACGAGUUGAACAUGUGCCUUUAUUUGCUUUUAUUUCAAUAUGUUAUAUUAAUUUGCUUAAAUUUUUUUUAUAAAAAAAUUAUAAAUUGAAAUUAGAAGCAUUUUCAAAAUUAAAAAACAAGCAAUAAAAUUUUAUAGCAAAAUGUGCAAUUUUAAUAUGAAAUUGUUAUUUAAAACUAAAUGGAAUUUUUUAGUAUGAGUAAUAUAAAUUAUGAACCAAAUAAUAAUAUUUAUAUAAAACUCAAAUAUGAUAAAAGUAUUGAAAAUUGAUAUUAAUACAUUGAAAUAUUUUCUUCUACAAAUUUAACAACUCAAAUUUGACUAAUACAAUAAUUAGAAAAAGUAAAGAGAAAAAUAUGAUAACUUUAAUAAUACAAAUUAUACAUUAAAAUUAAAUAGGCUUAAUACCUCUUUUGGCCCUUUAACUAUAGCAAAGUUAUCACUUUUUUUUUAUCAGUUGUGCCUUUGUACUUUAUUUUUGUGAUCUAUUUGGCCAUUUUAUUUUAAUUCUGUAAUUCGAUUUCCACAAUUUAUGGUGAUUUUUCAAAGUUAACCUACUGCUAUUGUUCAAAAUUGUUUUAGUGCAAGAUGUUAAUUACUAAGUUUAUAACUCCCUAAUUUCCUUUCUCUACAAUAUUUCCCAUCAUUUUCACUUAUUUCCCUUCACUAAUAUAUCAAGAACAUAAGACUUUAUUUAAGAAAACUCUACUAUAACAUCAUUUACAUGCUUUUUCAACAAUAACAAACUUAAAAGUAUAUUGAAAUCUUGAUGUUCUUACCUUGUGCUAUUGAUUUCAAUCUUUAAUUUGAUUUUCUCUCUCCUCCAGCUUCUAUUUCUUGAAUCUAACUUGACAUUCUGGCUCCCCAUUAUCUCCUUAUUAUUUUUCUCUCUUGGAAGCUAUGGAAAUUCUUUUGAUUUUUAGGUGAAAAUAGUGAAUUUUUGGUGAAAGGACCAAAUUGUAAAGAAAGUAAAAUCUUAAAAAAAUAUUAAUUAAAUAACAUUUAUCUAAUUAAUUAAUUAAAAAUAUCACAAACAUCAUCAUUACCUUCUAGAAUUCUCUCUCUCUAUUUGACCAUUUUGCCCUUUAUAAUCUUUUGAAAUUUCAUCCUUGAGUCAUCACUGAAUUUGGUAAAAUUGUAAUUUAGUCCCUUAAAAUUCUUCACAUUUUUAAUUUGGUCCUAAUUCAUCCCUUUUCCUUAGUUUCUAGAUUAUUCCACCCUUAAAAUAUUUACACUAUUGGUCCUUCAACUUUUUUUGUAUUUACACUUUAACCCUUCAAAUUUUGAGUAUUUACUCUUGGGCAACAAAACUUUUCUCACUUUUGCAAUUUAAUCCUUUCUUGAAUUAAUAUGUCAUAAUAUACUUCUCAAUGUUGACAUAACUCCAUAUUACCCUUUUUAUCACUUUAUUUCCUUAUUUUACUAUAUCAAUGAUAUUAUCUUACUUUUUUACUGUAGUAAUUUUUGGGGUAUUACAAUUCAUAUUAGUCAUAUGCUCAAGACUGUUUUCAUGUUGUUUGAGCCUCUCACUAAUAUGCCUCCAAUUACUUAAACCCUCAUUUGCUAACAAACAUUUGUUACUAAUAGAUUUGAACAACUUACAACAAAAACAAAAUACUUUGUCAACAUGUUUGGAAUAAACCAACCAUUUUCUAUUGAUAAUCUCACCAUUGCUCAACUUCCUAGAAAAAUAAGCAUAUGAAAAAUGUCUAUUAUUAUUAUUGAAAUGAAAAUCAAGAUUCAUUUCUCUUAAUAUAGACCCCUUUUCAACUAAAAUGUUCAUUGUUAUGUUAUCAAGUUUAGCCCAAUUUCUAGGAUCAUAAAUAUCCAAAGAAGGAAUUGUUUUUUCUUCACCAAUGCCAAUAUGAGGAGGAAUUGUUUGUUCUUCAUUAAAACCAAUAUUUUGAAUAUUGGAUACAUUUGGCAUAUCAUUAAGCUCAUUUAGAUAAUUAAUUUCAUUAUUCUCAUUGACAUCAUUAUGCAAACUUUCAUUUGAUUGAUCCAAAUUUUCAUUAGAAACUACUUUUUUAAAAAUAAAUUUAUCAAUAGCACCAUGUUGUGAGUUUUUUAACUCUUCAACACGUUUUCUCUUUUUCCUUUUUUUCACUUCCAGAUAAAUGCUUUUUAGGUAACAUUGUAUAUAAAAGAUAAAUCAAAUACUGAAGUAACACAAGAAAAUAAAACAAUAGCACCUGAUAGAAGAAUUCCAAGUUGAGUAUUUGUUUUUACAUUUGCUAAUUUCAAAAGUCAAAUCAAGUCACUGGAAUUUUGUAAAUAUAAUUCUAAUAAUCAAUUACAGAUAGACAUGGUAAUUAACAAUAUCCAAUUAUUUGUAUGAGAAAUGCACCUAAAAAAUUAAUGAGUAACAAAAACAAUUAAAAGCAUAAAGUCAUAAAGAAAGGGUAUGCAGUAGUAUACUGUACUAUGAGUCAUCAAAAAAGGAAUUAAGGGAAAGAAGCUAAAUAUAAGACUGACUUAAUGACUUUAGUUUAACCCCAAAUAUGUCAUCAAAUUAAGAAUGAAAAAAUUACAAGAAAGAAUAGGAAGGAGGAAAAAUUAUACCUGUAACAAUGGUAGAUCUGGCAAAUUACAGAUGAGAGGUACCAUCGGCAGCAAGCAGGUGCAGCAACUAGUUGAAUACCGACAGACUGACAUAGCCAUGCAGGACGACAACUUUAAAAUGAUGAAAUAAAGUUGUUUAAGUGAUCAAAUGAUCAUAAUAAUGAGGGAGUUAAAAGUCAACUCUUAAAAAUCACAUAUUUUCUUGAAAUUUGACUUAAGAUGGGAGAAAAUGCUAAGGGUAUAUUUGAACACCAAAUACUAAUUAGAUGAAAUUAAUUUUUAGAUAUGUUUGAAUGUUAGAGUGUAAUUAUAUCAUAAUUCUUUAUAUCAUAUUUAGUAAUAUAAAUUAUAAUUAAAAAUUACAUAAUUUAAAAUUUUAAAAAGAUAUUAAUUAUUAUAAAAUGUAUCAAUAAUACUUGAUAAAUUUUUUUAAACAAGUAACAAAAACCUAACUCAAACCAUCGCAUAUAAUAUAUUAGUUUAAAGAAUGUACUCGACAAUACGAUUAGUAAAAUAAUUUAACUAGAAAAGUAAACAUCCUAAACAAUUUAUCUAAUUACUCUAGCAUUUCAUAUUUGUUGAGUUAGUUUUAACAUCAAACAUAUAAUUAUUGUUAUUGCUGAUUAAUUCUUGACCAAGUAUAAAUUAUUAAUAAUAAAUAUUAUAUAAUUAAAUUAACUUUAAUAUAAAUAAUUUAUAAUAAAAACUAUAAAUUUUAAUUAAUUAUUAUUAAAUUAGAAUAUAUUAAAAAAAACUAUCUUUCAUCAUGUCUUUUAGAGUCUCAGCCAAUUAAAUUCAUCCAUGAUGUAAACCUUCUUUCUUUCUUUUCUUUUCCCAUUCAUGAUAAUAAAUAAUUGAAAAAUGAAAAUCAAACGAAAAAAAAAUAGCCUUAAAAUUAGAACACUCUGUUCUGGUGUUGGCAUUGCUGAUUUUUAAAUUUGGGUUAAUUUACACUUUACUCCUGAACUCAGUAACUUGUAUUUAACUUUAGAAAUGAUUAGAUAAAGUGGUACUUCUUUUAGGUACGUGAUUAAUAAAGUUAAGUUUUUAAUACACGUGGUGUGAAAGGAAUGGUUGGAUUGAUAAAAAUAAACGGUAUUAGUCAAGUAUUUAAAAAAAUACCACUUUAUCUAUGGAGUUUUUAAGUUUAGGUUAAAUUCAAAUACGUAUAAAUUAUAAAGUUGAGAGAGUAAAGGGUACUUAAUCCUUAUAAAUUAUAUUAAUAAAAUUUCAUGGUUUUUAUGAUAGUCAUAUAAUGCACAAAAAGAUUCUUAGAACUACAAAUCGAUUCUCUGCGGAAAUAGCGAAUGCAAUUAAGAAGAGUUCACCUAUACAUCCACUGCCACCUCAUCAGACGACAUUACUUGAGAACAGAAAUAAGCUACUUUAUUAAAAAAAGAAAAGAAAAAGAAAAACAAGACACGAAAUGGAAUACGUGUGGAUUAAGGAACUUUCGGGGAUUCAAACAAAACUGUGGUGAAACAGAUUUUUAAUUACGAGUAAUAAAUGCAUCAAACACUUUGGGGAAGCCAAGGUAAACGUGCCUACAAGGUUGGACCAUUUUCUGAAGAAAAUUCUACAAUUCUACAGUUGAAUCACUGGAUAAAACCAAACAUGUCUCUGUUUUUCAAUUGUAUCCCAAAACCAUAUCUUUGUCUUUACUGCUCUCCGACUUUUCCAAUAUGUCUCUCUUCCUUUUCAUGCUCCUCGUCUCCAUUUUGAACCCUGUGGUUUCUCAUAAAAGCUGCGAUUUCCCAGCUGUGUUUAACUUGGGUGACUCUAAUUCCGACACCGGCGGAUAUGCUUCUGCGUUCACUCCACCCACUUCUCCUUAUGGAGAUACCUACUUUCACAUGCCUGCUCGCCGUUUUUCCGAUGGGCGGCUCACCAUUGAUUUCAUAGGUAUGUUAUAACUUCAUUCGCCAUUGCUAUGCUAUGACCACAUGUUUGAAAAUAACAAUAUAUAUAGAUACUUUAGUACACAGAAAAUAUAUAUUUUUAAAAUAAAUAUUUAUUGUACUUUAAAAGAAUACUUCCCAUCGUCUUAAGUUUAUUUGUGGAAUUCUGUUAAGCUAUCAAAUAUAUUUUCAUAUAUAUAAUCCUCACGUUGAAAAAGAUUAAUUAUGGAUAAAAGUGAUGUUCUUACUUGAUGGUUUAUUUUGGCAGCUGAGGCAUUUGGUCUGCCAUUUAUUAAUGCCUAUCUUGAUUCAGUGGGGACCAAUUUCUCGCAUGGCAUAAACUUUGCCACCGCAGCAUCUACAAUCAGAUUACCUAUUAGUGUUAUCCCUAAUGGUGGAUUCAGUCCAUUCUAUUUGGGGUUACAGUACUCACAGUUUGAGCAAUUCAAAGUCAGAUCUCAAAUGAUUAGGAAACAAGGUCAGUAUAUAUUUCAAGUAGCAUUUUAUUAUUUAAAAAAUGACCUGGGAUUGUAAAUGUUAAGAUAUAAACUCUAAAUAUGUAAGAUGCAUUACCUGAACCAACUGUGAUCUUUUCCAUGCAUAGGAGGGUUGUUGGCAAGUUUAAUGCCCAAGGAAGAGUAUUUUUCUAAAGCUUUAUACACAUUUGACAUUGGCCAAAACGAUCUUGGAGAAGGGUUCUUUUCAAACUUGACUAUACAAGAAGUCAAUGCUUCUAUUCCUGACAUAAUCAACAAAUUCUCAGCAAAUAUUAAGGUAUAAUCCUAUUCAGAAAUUUGAUCCAAAUACCCAAGUUAAAAUUUCAAUGAUUUGACCUAAUAAUUCUGGGGUGAAUUUUUUGUUUUUUUUUUUUUGCAGAAUAUAUACAAUUUAGGAGCAAGAUUCUUUUGGGUUCACAACACUGGACCAAUCGGUUGCUUGCCUUAUGUUUUGGUUGCAUUUGCCUCAGCUGAAAAGGACCCUGCUGGUUGUUUAAAGCCUUACAAUGAAGUGGCUCAGUAUUUCAAUCUGAAGCUACAGGAAUCAAUAGCUCAACUCAGAAAUGAAUUCCCUUCAGCUGCAUUUACAUAUGUAGACAUCUAUUCUGUGAAGUAUUCUCUGUUUGCUGAACCCCAAAAACAUGGUAAUUUGACAAAGUACUCGUGUUUGGCACUUGUGUUGGGCCUAUAUCUGCCCGUGUUUGAGCUUUAUAUCUGAUUCUGGACUAAUUUUUCAGGGUUUGAACUUCCACUUGUGACAUGUUGUGGCUAUGGAGGUGAGUACAACUACAGUGCUGCAGUUCUAUGUGGAGGAACAAUUACGGUGAAUGGUACAGAGAUAUUUGUGGGUUCAUGUGAUAAUCCAUCUGUUCGUGUGGUUUGGGAUGGAAUUCACUUUACUGAGGCAGCUAACAAGUUCAUUUUUGAUCAAAUUUCGACUGGUUCGUUCUCCGAUCCGGCUGUUCCAUUGAAGCAGGCAUGCCAGAGCUAGAGGAAUUCAAAAUAAACUUUCUGCUAAAGCAUAUUGACACAUGAAUAAACCAAAAUUUAACUAGCUUCUCUUGUAUGUAAUAAGUGUCUACCUCAUUGCUGCAGAAGAUGAUGUUAUUUUAGUUUUUCUAUUUUUAAAACAGAAAAUAAAUAUAUAAUAUUUCUU
rnacentral:lncRNA from 1 species